rnacentral:lncRNA from 1 species
AUUUUAUUAAAAAGUGAUAUAAACAUAUAUUCUAUGGUUAACUAAUCUAGAUUUAUGAUUUAGAGUAAGGGUUGGGAUUUUGAAAGUGAGAUUUCAAAUUUUUAAAAAUAAAAAAUAAAAAUUUUAAAAUGAAAAAGUUAUUUUGUUUUUUUUAAGACUAUUUUGAUGAUAAUAGCUUAAAAGCCUAUUUGAGAAAACUGUUCUUUGAUGUUAUCUGAAUUGUUUUUUGAAAAAAAUGUUAUCUAAAUUGUUAGUAUGUUUUUUAUUUAUUAUUUAUGAUUUUGUCAAGUUAAAAAAACCUUUGGAAUCUUUUAUUUUAUGGUUGCAUGGACAAUUUCAGAUUUUUCCGUUGCUAUUCCAAAAUGUAAAUUUUUUUAAAAUAUUUUUUUUUUUGUAACAUAAAAAUAAGUAACCAUUUUUACACUUGUGCUAUCGGAAUAUAGAAUCAAUAGCAUAAGUAUAAUAUUGGAGAAUAACUCUAAAUGCCCCUCAUACCCUCUUAAAACCAUUUCCACUGCCCUCUCUCUAUUCUCACCACCUUUUAUCCUUGCAUUCCCAAAUUUAGUCUUCCAUUUACAUUUAAUUUCUCAAUUAAAUAAAUUUCCAUAAAUCAGAUCUCCAACCACCCGACCCCACAAACAACUUUAACCAAUUACAUCAAUCAACUCAUUCUCUCU